GACGAACGCUGGCGGCGUGCUUAACACAUGCAAGUCGAACGGAAAGUCCCUGCUUUUGUGGGGUGCUCGAGUGGCGAACGGGUGAGUAACCCGUGAGUAACCUGCCCUUGACUUUGGUAUAACUUCAGGAAACUUGGGCUAAUACCGGAUAGGAUCUCCUGCUGCAUGGUUGGGUUUGGAAAGUUUCGGCGGUUGGGGAUGGACUCGCGGCUUAUCAGCUUGUUGGUGGGGUAGUGGCUUACCAAGGCUUUGACGGGUAGCCGGACUGAGAGGGUGACCGGACACAUUGGGACUGAGAUACGGCCCAGAAUCCAACGGGAGGCAGCAGUGGGGAAUAUUGCACAAUGGGCGGAAGCCUGAUGCAGCAACGCCGCGUGCGGGAUGACGGCCUUCGGGUUGUAAACCGCUUUAGCCUGUGACGAAGCGUGAGUGACGGUAAUGGGUAAAGAAGCACCGGCUAACUACGUG
rnacentral:rRNA from 1 species